rnacentral:rRNA from 1 species
CGAUUAGAGUUUGAUCAUGGCUCAGAGUGAACGCUGGCGGUAGGCCUAACACAUGCAAGUCGAACGGCAGCACAGUGGUAGCAAUACCAUGGGUGGCGAGUGGCGGACGGGUGAGGAAUACAUCGGAAUCUACCUUUUCGUGGGGGAUAACGUAGGGAAACUUACGCUAAUACCGCAUAAGACCUUCGGGUGAAAGCCGGGGACCUUCGGGCCUGGCGCGGAUAGAUGAGCCGAUGUCGGAUUAGCUUGUUGGCGGGGUAAAAGCCCACCAAGGCGACGAUCCGUAGCUGGUCUGAGAGGAUGAUCAGCCACACUGGAACUGAGACACGGUCCAGACUCCUACGGGAGGCAGCAGUGGGGAAUAUUGGGACAAUGGGCGCAAGCCUGAUCCAGCCAUACCGCGUGGGUGAAGAAGGCCUUCGGGUUGUAAAGCUCUUUUGUUGGGAAAGAAAUCCUGCCGGUUAAUAACCAGUAGGGAUGACGGUACCCAAAGAAUAAGCACCGGGCUAACUUCGUGCCAGCAGCCGCGGUAAUACGAAGGGUGCAAGCGUUACUCGGAAUUACUGGGCGUAAAGCGUGCGUAGUGGUUGUUUAAGUCUGUCGUGAAAGCCCUGGGCUCAACCUGGGAAUUGCGAGGAAUACUGGGCAACUAGGGUGUGGUAGAGGAUAGUGGAAUUUCCGGUGUAGCAAGUGAAAUGCGUAAAGAUCGGAGGACAUUUGUGGGCGAAGGCGACUAUCUGGGCCAAACUGACACUGAGGCACGAAACGCUUGGGGAGCA